UCCGAAUUGGUGUAGUGGCUAACAUUUGGUGCUCUCACCCCCAGAUGUAGGCAAUCUAUUAUCUGAAGUGAUCCGCCAAGCCCGGGGUUCGAUUCCCCGAUUCGGAG